ACUUAGGUUCAUUGUUUGUCUAUGUAUGUGCUUGGAAAUACGAACUACGGCAGCCUGGUUUGUUAAUUAGUGCUUCGUCUCGGCGGUUCGAAACACUUAAAUUGGAUGGCGAUUUACCGCAGUGGUCCCAGAAGUAUGUACGACAGUUAUUCCAAAGUACCACUCAAACACCAUACACACGCAAUUCACAUUUCUUAAAAAAAUAAGUCAAACGAGUUGAGUGGGGAAGCAUUUUUUUUUUUUUUUUUUUGGGGGGGGGCGGUAUUUCGUUGAUAGGGAGAAAGACGGCGGGUAGAGAGACAUGCCCAUUUUUUUCAAGUGGAGGAGGCCCAACAACGGGGCUGAGGGUGUCGGAAAGAGCACACGAGCAAGCCACGUGUUAUAUAGCUCAGUAUUGUCAGACGCUCCCUCCCACCCCUUACACCAGCCAUUUUCAGAGGCCAAAGAGAUCAUGCAGUCGGGUCCUCGUGAAUGUUUUAUUUUUCAGCUCAUGGUACAGGAGAAAGAUCAAACUACCACCGGGGCCAUAAAACUACCCCUGGAAAUGCCCAAAACUCCUACGAAAAGCCUUGUCAAAUAUGUGUUCUCGGGCGCGGAAAUGUUUAAAAACGUGAACCUUUGGCUGGUAUUAUAAGACACUCGCUUCUCAAAUCAGCUAUUUCUAAAGGUCAAAGAGGGGGUCAGUCGGGUUCUAAUGAGUGUUUCUUCAGGUUCAAGGUACAGAGGAAGGCUCAAACUACUACCAGGGUCAUAAAACUACCCCUGGAAAUGCCAACAACUCCUACGAAAGCCUUGUCAAUUAUGUGUUCUCGGAAAUGUUUAAAAAAUGUGAACCUUAGUGUUGAUGAUCGUUGAGUCGUUACUGGUCAUCCGCUAGUGUUUGCACGAGUCACCCCUCGAAACAGUUAACUUGUCUGGUGGUUAAAGCAAUCUGGUAUUUUCAACCACAAAUGGCUUGGUAAUGACUUUUGUGGUCUAACGUUAUGUGUUCCGAUGUGUUCUAUCUAUACUAAGGCCCUAUUUAUUUUGGACGAUAUUCAAUCUUGAGUUCAUUACGAUCGAGGUUGCCCGCUGUAGUGAUUCAAUAUGCCUCUAGAGAAGAUCAAAAGAGAGUUAAGGGUUGAAUGGCUUCCAGCGCGCCAUCCUGUAUACUCCUUGGAGGAAUAAUACGUAUUCUUCCUCCAAGGCAUACUCCGCGUCGAUUACUGCUACCGCCAUUUUUAAAGGUCAGCGGGUUUUUAAAAACUCUUCCGCCUUCAGCUGACGCGGUGUUGCCACAUGACGACUCGCUUGUAUCUGCUCCACUUUUAAUUGAUAUUUAUGCGAUUUUUUUAUUUUAUUUUUUAUUUUUUAUAAGGAGUUCGCGUCAGCAGAAUCGUACCUUGCUGCGCGUGGCCUCGGUGUUCAUUUCUGUCUCGCUGCUGCUUUUUUCUCGUUUUACAUGUCGUUUACUGUUUUUUUUUAAUGUUAGAGAAAAUACGAUCACUUGGUAAAUUAUCAAAGCCUAGGAUAUCACCCCACCCUACUCUCUCUCUCUCUCUCUCUCUCUCUCUCUCUCUACGUAUAGGUUCACCAUACGGGAUUCAUCAGGCACGCGAGUUCAGUUUUUCACUUUUAUUCACAUAGGUAGCCUUCAGUGUCCAAAUAUACAGCAACAGAUUAAUGUAAAAGAUAUAUGUCAAGUACUUUUACAAACCCAAACUUUUUUUAUUAAUUUCCUCUCUACUUACAUAUAGUCUGCUGGCCUGAUAUAUUAAAGUGUCUAACAGAGGAACGAUGAUUGAAGGAAUAGAUGAUAAAGGAAAUUAUAUAGAUAGGAAACAAUGAUAGAAAGAAUUGAUGACAAAGGAAAGGAUGGAGAGGAAACGAUGAUAUAAUUAAGUCCAAGUGGCUCUCAACCUUUUAUGCCCAUGCAGUGCUCCCUCUUCACCGUAUGUCAGAAUGUCUCCCCCAUUUCAAGAUCGCCUGACUCAAAACCACGUGUCUACCUCCCCUGUAGGCGGGGCUGCAGGGGCUACACAUCAUUGGAGGGGGGUGGAAGGGGGGGAUACCUGUUGCAUGAGGCCUUGGGAGAGCGUAUAAAUGUGGCAGCCCUAUCUAUGGCUUGUGGCACACGGUCCAAUAGGCUGCAGCAGGUAUCCGAUGUUUGCUGCGUAUUAUGCUGCCCCGGGGAGCUUGAAGGCAAUAGAGAGAGCAAUAUUACAAAUGUUGGAGUCUGCCAUUCUGUUACCCAAAUUCCCCCCACCCCCUCCUGAAACCCUGAAAUUUCCUCCCGAGGUGAGGGAAUUUCCCCGAGGUUGAGAACCACUUGAGUUAACAAGUCCCCUAGCUUUCCUCUUGAAUAGGCUGUGUGGAGGGAGAACAAUUGAGGCGAUGCAGAAUGAAUAAAAAAAGUGAAUCAAAUGAGUGAGACGUAAGGUGGGGCGGCUGAGAAAAAAAGGAAAUGGUUGUGAUGAAAGACGUGCGUAAGAGUUAUCCUUGAGGGCCGUGCUGCUGGCCCGUCACAGUCAAGGGUUAGGUCCUGCUGUUUGCUGUACGUCAACUCAUGAACCACGUGCAUGUGUUACAUUCCAGCAAACGUUUUUAUGAUUCAGUUCCGAAUCUUCAUUAAAGUCCCUAAGUAUUUAUGGUUCACUAUAACUGAAUAAUUGAAUUGGCAGUAUAGUGUUAACGCCUCGCUGGGCGGCAGUGCACAGACCAUUAAUGAAGCACUAAUGUAGCAGCCAGCGCCAGGCAGCGUCGAGUGAAUGAGGGAGGAUGAAGGGGGCGCGUGUGGCAUUGGGUAUGGGUAGGCGGUGACUGAGUGGUUAGCGUGCGGGCCCUGCAUUCACCGCACGCUACCACCUAGGAUUUUUCAGUCACCGGCGAGUGGCCUAAGAGUAAGACUACCCACAUGCUGUCCUAAAGACCACCCAUCAACCCGGACUCUAGAAGAAACCGUCCAAGUGAAUCAAGAAUGAGUUCCGGGGGGCAGCAUGAGCCAAGCAUAAAUGGCGCUACUAUAAAAAUUGCUUGCGCCAUGAUGGGCUUGGGCCGAACACCAGGCCCCUGAAGAAAGUCUACCGGGGCUAUAGGCGAACACGUAAAUAAAAAAUAAUAAUAAUGACCGUUGUGCCUGACAGUUCUUGUAUCAGAGAGCUCCGUCAGUUUAUCAUACAGCCCAAUACACUCGUGGGAGGGGGAUCCAGGGCGCUGGGUUCAUUGGUCAUCAGACAAGUGCAGAGGGUUAGCAAGAGGGUUGUUUGUGGCAAAAUGGCAUGGCUGCUGGAGUCCCCUACCGGGGCUAUUAAACAUUAUCCAUGUCACAAGACCAUGUAAUAGAAGGUAAUUACAGUGUACGUGAUAAAACAGCCUCCCCCCCCCGUGCAGGGCAGAUCAUUACUAAUAUUACUUAUAUGCGUGUUAUGCACCUACACAGAUGCCCUGCACAUUAGUUAUCAAGAUCAAGACCAGGCUUUGAGUAUAGAAAAAUGUACAUCUAAUAAAUGAAAGGUAUAUAGCAUUGGUCUUUUAUCUCUGCUCUAUCAGUCACUAUGCUGCCCUGCUGAGCCUUGGAUGGUAUAAUAACUGAGAUAACAAAGUAUAAUAAUCUCAGUCAGUUAGUUGAUGGCAAGAAUCGUAUUGUACGGGAGGAAGAAAAUAUGGCACAGACUUGGCUGGGUACUCACUCAUAUCAAGAAUGGAAAAAAUACCUUGAACUGAACCUGGGAAAGGAAAUAAAAAUACCUGUAAAAAAAUUCACCCCCCCUCAAAAAAAAAAGUGAAAAGUUAACCCUUGUAAAAAUGAAGUGUGGUAAUGGAUGUUAAUUUCCAUAAUACUUCACUUCUAUCCCUAAGUUUAGCCUUUAACCUGGUAGCAGCGACGGGCCAAAUUUGUGGCUUUACCGUGUAGCAGCGACGGGCCAAAUUUGUGGCUUUACCGUGUAGCAGCGACGGGCCAAAUUUGUGGCUUUACCGUGUAGCAGCGACGGGCCAAAUUUGUGGCUUUACCGUGUAGCAG